GACGUAGGGGGCAAGCGUUAUUCGGAAUUAUUGGGCGUAAAGCGCUCGUAGGCGGGACUGGAAGUCCGUGUUGAAAGACCUCGGCUCAACUGAGGGACCGGCUCGGAUACUCUAGUUCUUGAGGCAAUCAGAGGGUGAUGGAAUUCCCGGUGUAGCGGUGACAUGCGUAGAUAUCGGGAGGAACACCAGUGGCGAAGGCGGGUCUCUGGGCCGGUACCGACGCUGAGGAGCGAAAGCGUGGGGAGCGAACAGG
rnacentral:rRNA from 1 species